UAUUCCCUUAGUUCUGCUCGGAUUCUGUUAUAACCCGGGGUUUUCGUAAUCUAGAUGAUCAGAAUAAGACGCUGGUAUACUUAGUUUGAUUUCGAAAAAAAUCAAUUUUUGGUGAAAAAUUCGAUACGGGGGGGUAUACCCAAAAAAUGAAAAAUUCCAAACUUUGAAGGUCGAUAUCUCGGCUUCUAUGGGAGCUAUCGGGAAAAUUCCAACAGUUUUGUCUUAGUUUCGUCAUUGUGAAUCCAACGAGACCAUCCGCAAGGUCGUAGCUUUUACGAUAGCCGAGAUAUGGCAUUUUUGAUGCCCAUUUUUGGCCUCAAAAACGGACGUCGAAAACGACUUUUUCAGGAUUUUCAAAGUGCUCUCAUUCCCUUAGUUCUGCUCGGAUUCUGUUAUAACCCGGGGUUUUCGUAAUCUAGAUGAUCAGAAUAAGACGCUGGUAUACUUAGUUUGAUUUCGAAAAAAAUCAAUUUUUGGUGAAAAAAUUCGAUACGGGGGGGUAUACCCGAAAAAUGAGAAAUUCCAAACUCUGAAGGUCGAUAUCUCGGCUUCUAUGGGAGCUAUCGGGAAAAUUCCAACAGUUUUGUCUUAGUUUCGUCAUUGUGAAUCCAACGAGACCAUCCGCAAGGUCGUAGCUUUUACGAUAGCCGAGAUAUGGCAUUUUUGAUGCCCAUUUUUGGCCUCAAAAACGGACGUCGAAAACGACUUUUUCAGGAUUUUCAAAGUGCUCUCAUUCCCUUAGUUCUGCUCGGAUCCUGUUAUAACCCGGUGUUUUCGUAAUCUAGAUGAUCAGAAUAAGACGCUGGUAUACUUAGUUUGAUUUCGAAAAAAAUCAAUUUUUGGUGAAAAAAUUCGAUACGGGGGGGUAUACCCGAAAAAUGAAAAAUUCCCAACUUUGAAGGUCGAUAUCUCGGCUUCUAUGGGAGCUAUCGGGAAAAUUCCAACAGUUUUGUCUUAGUUUCGUCAUUGUGAAUCCAACGAGACCAUCCGCAAGGUCGUAGCUUUUACGAUAGCCGAGAUAUGGCAUUUUUGAUGCCCAUUUUUGGCCUCAAAAACGGACGUCGAAAACGACUUUUUCAGGAUUUUCAAAGUGCUCUCAUUCCCUUAGUUCUGCUCGGAUUCUGUUAUAACCCGGGGUUUUCGUAAUCUAGAUGAUCAGAAUAAGACGCUGGUAUACUUAGUUUGAUUUCGAAAAAAAUCAAUUUUUGGUGAAAAAAUUCGAUACGGGGGGGUAUACCCGAAAAAUGAAAAAUUCCCAACUUUGAAGGUCGAUAUCUCGGCUUCUAUGGGAGCUAUCGGGAAAAUUCCAACAGUUUUGUCUUAGUUUCGUCAUUGUGAAUCCAACGAGACCAUCCGCAAGGUCGUAGCUUUUACGAUAGCCGAGAUAUGGCAUUUUUGAUGCCCAUUUUUGGCCUCAAAAACGGACGUCGAAAACGACUUUUUCAGGAUUUUCAAAGUGCUCUCAUUCCCUUAGUUCUGCUCGGAUCCUGUUAUAACCCGGUGUUUUCGUAAUCUAGAUGAUCAGAAUAAGACGCUGGUAUACUUAGUUUGAUUUCGAAAAAAAUCAAUUUUUAGUGAAAAAAUUCGAUACGGGGGGGUAUACCCGAAAAAUGAAAAAUUCUAAACUUUGAAGGUCGAUAUCUUGGCUUCUAUGGGAGCUAUCGGGAAAAUUCCAACAGUUUUGUCUUAGUUUCGUCAUUGUGAAUCCAACGAGACCAUCCGCAAGGUCGUAGCUUUUACGAUAGCCGAGAUAUGGCAUUUUUGAUGCCCAUUUUUGGCCUCAAAAACGGACGUCGAAAACGACUUUUUCAGGAUUUUCAAAGUGCUCUCAUUCCCUUAGUUCUGCUCGGAUUCUGUUAUAACCCGGGGUUUUCGUAAUCUAGAUGAUCAGAAUAAGACGCUGGUAUACUUAGUUUGAUUUCGAAAAAAAUCAAUUUUUGGUGAAAAAAUUCGAUACGGGGGGGUAUACCCGAAAAAUGAAAAAUUCCCAACUUUGAAGGUCGAUAUCUCGGCUUCUAUGGGAGCUAUCGGGAAAAUUCCAACAGUUUUGUCUUAGUUUCGUCAUUGUGAAUCCAACGAGACCAUCCGCAAGGUCGUAGCUUUUACGAUAGCCGAGAUAUGGCAUUUUUGAUGCCCAUUUUUGGCCUCAAAAACGGACGUCGAAAACGACUUUUUCAGGAUUUUCAAAGUGCUCUCAUUCCCUUAGUUCUGCUCGGAUUCUGUUAUAACCCGGGGUUUUCGUAAUCUAGAUGAUCAAAAUAAGACGCUGGUAUACUUAGUUUGAUUUCGAAAAAAAUCAAUUUUUGGUGAAAAAAUUCGAUACGGGGGGGUAUACCCGAAAAAUGAAAAAUUCCCAACUUUGAAGGUCGAUAUCUCGGCUUCUAUGGGAGCUAUCGGGAAAAUUCCAACAGUUUUGUCUUAGUUUCGUCAUUGUGAAUCCAACGAGACCAUCCGCAAGGUCGUAGCUUUUACGAUAGCCGAGAUAUGGCAUUUUUGAUGCCCAUUUUUGGCCUCAAAAACGGACGUCGAAAACGACUUUUUCAGGAUUUUCAAAGUGCUCUCAUUCCCUUAGUUCUGCUCGGAUUCUGUUAUAACCCGGGGUUUUCGUAAUCUAGAUGAUCAGAAUAAGACGCUGGUAUACUUAGUUUGAUUUCGAAAAAAAUCAAUUUUUAGUGAAAAAAUUCGAUACGGGGGGGUAUACCCGAAAAAUGAGAAAUUCCAAACUCUGAAGGUCGAUAUCUCGGCUUCUAUGGGAGC